GUUCAUUUUUUCUUUGUUUGUUUGUUUUUUAUCCAUUUAGAUUCCUUUUGUCAGCACUAUGGUGGGAUUUUCCAUAGCAAGGGUGGGUUUUAAUCUCAAAUUGGGCAGGCCCACAUGGCAAAGAGUUGCAGGGAGAUGAAUUUUUCUCCUGAAUCUCAGGUUAGAUAAAUAAAAGAAUCAGUGCACUCAAAAAAAUAUCCUUUGAAAUAGGCAAUGCAUUGCUCUCUCAUAGAGUGCGCCAUACUUCCUGUUUGGAAAAGUCUCUUCCUUCUCCUCUUCCCCCCCACCCCUGGUCCCCUGCCAUGUGGAGGAUAAUUAUAGCCUAAGGAAAGAACACCCCAGUUUUUACCAGCUGGCUUGUGAUUUCAGAGACACAGCAGCUUCCAGCAGCCUGGAUCCUGGGGCUGGACUGGGGCGAUAUGGCUUGGAGGCUGGAGAUCAUCUGGGGCCGGGACAGGUGGUUGAACAUUCCAUGGAGCAAGCAUUAGGCUGGAAGAUAGAGGACCUGGAUUGGAUGGAGAAAUUGAAGAUUAGAGAAGGAAGUGAUUUGUCCAGAAUAAAUCUAGGGUUGGUGCUACAAUUAGAUGUCACAUCUCUUGAUUUUAAUUUAAGUACAUUUUCCAUCAUAUCCUACUCUAACUCUUUCAGACUACAUUUCCCAGAGGGCAGCAUUUUCACCAUUUUUCUUACGGUCUUUCUUUGAAGUAGAAUAUCUACCACCACUAUGUUUUAUGGAGAGAUUAAUGGAUUCAAGACAAAAGUAUAAGCUUUAAGCAGAUCCCUGUUCCUUACUUCUCCUAGCAGGAGAACUAGACACAUACCCCCUAAUUAGGGCUGAGGGAAGAAGAGAAAAUGGAUUGAACUGAUGACUCUCCUCCCUUCCCUAGCCAUAUCUAUAUACUAGACCUAAUUUAGGAAGGAACAAAAAAAGAUGGCAUAGUCCCUUCACCUCUAGUUUCACCUCUUUUCAUUCCAUCACACUCAUACCACCUCCUAAUUCACCUUCUUAGAACAUAUGUUACUCUUCUACCAAGGGCCAGAAGUAUAUCUGCCCACUACAUUAAUUCUAAACUAUAUUUAACCUUCAAAAUCUUCCAUAAUCUGGCCCCACCCACCAGUUGGUCUCCCACAACUCUCCAGUGCCUUCCCAAGAAAACUGUAAUCCCAAAUCCAUUCCAAUCUCAACCACACUGAUGAAUAAGUGGCUUGAGUAAUCAAUCUGCAGUCUUAUAGAUGGUUGCUUUGUUUUCAGAGUUGUUUCUCCAAGGAGGAGACUGAAGGGGAUGGAUGGAUGAAUCAAUGAAUGAAAAAACACUUAUUACUAUAUGUAAAACACUGUCGAGAGCUGAGGACAUGAAAAUCAAGGCAGAACUCAUUCUUUUUUUUUUUUUAAACUCU
rnacentral:lncRNA from 1 species